UACGUAGGGUGCGAGCGUUACUCGGAAUUACUGGGCGUAAAGCGUGCGCAGGCGGUUUUGUAAGCCAGGUGUGAAAUCCCCGGGCUCAACCUGGGAAUGGCAUUUGGGACUGCAAGGCUGGAGUGCGGCAGAGGAGACUGGAAUUCCUGGUGUAGCAGUGAAAUGCGUAGAUAUCAGGAGGAACACCGGUGGCGAAGGCGGAUCUCUGGGCCAUUACUGACGCUGAGGAGCGAAAGCGUGGGGAGCGAACAGG
rnacentral:rRNA from 1 species